rnacentral:rRNA from 1 species
UACGAGGGGGGCAAGCGUUGUUCGGAAUUAUUGGGCGUAAAGGGCGCGUAGGCGGUUUGACAAGUCUGAUGUGAAAUCUAUGGGCUCAACCCAUAGCCUGCAUUAGAAACUGUCGGGCUUGAGUAUGGGAGAGGUGAGUGGAAUUUCCGGUGUAGCGGUGAAAUGCGUAGAUAUCGGAAGGAACACCUGUGGCGAAAAGCGGCUCACUGGACCAUAACUGACGCUGAGGCGCGAAAGCUAGGGGAGCAAACAGGG